rnacentral:lncRNA from 1 species
ACAACUAAAAUCAUUGUUGUCAUCACAGUGAACAGCCUUCACUGAAUAAACUGGUCAGCAUGUCUUCAGUCAGUUGUAAUAGACUGUGACUUCCUUCAGUGUCCUGUUAAGUGGUUUUUUGAUCAGAGAAGAUGGGUUGCAGCUCUACCUAUUGCUCAAGCCACAGGCAUGCAAACUCAUAUUCUGUAGUUUAACUGAGAGACUUGGAACAAAUUUCAGCUCCAUCUAGCCCUGCUUACUUUGCCUACUGUGAUUCUGAUGGUCUGUUGAAGAAAGUUUUGGUUUUCUCCAGUUUCCUAUGACAUUAGGAGAGAGGAAAGAAAUACAUCUAUGUCAAAAUUCAAGCAAACAGGGAUCAAGAGUUUUUCAGGAAAAUUAUGGCAACAUCAUAUGUAAGAAAUCCCUUAAAUAUAUCUAGAGGUAUAG